UUCAGAAAAAAAUUUGGGUAGGGGGAAUGUGGGACAUCGGGCACAGAGGAAAAUCAACUCUUACACUCAUACUAUAUCCAGAAUCACGUCUGCAGUUCGAUGUUUGAAUCAGCCGUUGGGCAUGUUUGUAAUCGGGUUAAUCUUCACAAUGAGAUCUGGUAGUUACUUCCUCGAAAGUCUCUGCAAGACUUUAAGCUUCGAAAAUGACAUAGAGAGAAUGAUUUAUUCAAGACCUGGAUUGUAUUGGAAAAUAUCAAUGAAAUAUAUCUGCCCAAUUAUUAUGGUCGUUGUCUUUAUUGCAAGCUUCGUGGACAUGUUCCUCUACUCUCCGAGUUACUCACUUGGAACGAAGACGCCGGCUCGAAAGACUAGUUAACUUAUCCACAAUGGCCAUAUUUAUUAUAGUAUUAUUGAUACUGAGCUCGAUGUUUUGUAUCCCUCUAUUUGUGGGUCUUGUACAUUUCGGAAUUUUCGACUUAAAUGGAUCGGUUCGGAUUCUUUUAAAUGAGCAUCAGUAUGUGGGUUUAUGACCUAUGACAAAAUUCUGUUAAAAUCACACCGCUUCUAACAGAUCCACCAACCACCACCUUUGAUUUAUAUACUGUGCUUUGAUACCUUGUGAAUUAUUUUCCUUCUGUUAUAGUACAAUUUUUUUUUCGUAUACACAAUGUUUUUCCCUGUUUGAAUUUGUUAUUUAUUCUUCUGUGUCUGCUUUCUAUUGAAGCUUUUGUUUUUUAUGUCACAUUGAAAUGUAUUGUUUUUGUCUUGUUUUGAUUGUUUUAAAUGAUUUUUUCUGUGAUUGAUACAAGAUAUUCAUGUUUUAUAUGUCACAUUGAAAUGUAUUGUUUUUGUCUUGUUUUGAUUGUUUUAAAUGAUUUUUUCUGUGAUUGAUACAAGAUAUUCAUGCCAGAUUUUACUGAUCCAAAAAUUGUUAAUAUUUGAAUCUGUUCCAAAUCAUUCAAAACUUGAUAAUCUAGAAUUCUUUGCAAUCAGGAAAUUGUACCUUGACCGUGGGUUAAUGCUUUAGAUUUGAUUGAAAAUUCUCAGGAAGUAUUCUUACCAAGAUGGUACCUGGUACCCAUACAAUGUUCAGGUUGUGUGCCAUCUUGGUACGAAUACUUCGGGAGCACCCAAUAUUUUACUUCAUGUUACAAAAUUGUUUAGUUCUUUUUCAAGUGCGACUUCGGCUAAAGGAAUUUGAUUUUUUUAUGGAAUAUCAGACUGCGAAAAUAUCCAAAACUCCUCUAUAAUUAUCGGGUACUAUUAUUAAAAGCUUUCGAUUUUAAUAAUAAAAAUUACAAAUUCAAGUUUUUAAUUCAAAUAUCUUCUAUGAGAAUACAUUAAAACAAUCUAGAAUCCUUUAAAAAAAUAUUUUUUUACUAAUUCAGUCAAAAAUCUCAAAUUGAUCCCAGUCAAGGUUUAUAAGCUUUUUAUUAUCAAGUUUUAAAUUCACUCUUUUAAUGAAAAUUUUCACCCAGAGAAGUAUCAAUAUACACAAGUUUUUUGAAAAACUUAUAAACAGCUUUUUCUGAUAUACACAAUUUCUUAUUCCAACCAGGGUUAUUUUUUUUAUUAUUAUUUUCUAUUGAAGCUGUUCUACUGUUUUACUUUUAUAUAUUUGUCGUCUGAAUCAGUUUUGUCACAAUCCUUAGACCUCAAUCUAAAGCAGUGUUUCUCAAAUUGUUCAACCCGUAUACCCGUUUUUAGUAUUUGUCAAGUCUCUUGCCUCACCUCAAAAAUAACUAACUAACAAUAAGCUACAAAUAACAGAUAGUGAGUAUGUUUUAUUCAAAAAAACGUGUUCAAAAUGUAAGGAUGGAUUGUAAAUAUCCAACAUAAGGUGGGCAAAAUCAAAUCUAACGUAUAUUUUUAUUUGAAAUUAGCUCCACGAACCUCAAAAAAUUGUCUACGCCCUCCUUGUGGGGCUCGUUCCGCUGUUUGAGAACCACUGACCUAAAGGUUUUCUAAAUUGCCACUGGCAAAGCAUAUAAUAGAACCAAUUAGCGCCCAAUACACAUAACCUUACAUUAAAAUUAGAAUUAAAACAUAAAACUAUCGCUUCUUUGAAUAUCUUCAUUUUUGAGUAGACUUGUAGUUGUUGAAAAAUCUGUGCCUUGCUUAACCCUUUAAAAAGCUAUGCUGUAUUUUAUUGCUUUUAAUGAUAACUACCACCCAUAUACACAAUUCUAGGACCUCCUGAAGUAUGCGCACCAAGAUGGCGCACAACCUGAACUCGAGGUGUGUACCAGGUCAGGGUUCAGGCAUGUGCGACAUCUUGGUGCGCAUACUCCAGGAGUACCCAAUUCUAUUCGUAAUCAUAUUCUAUAUAUGCUUAUAUAUUAAAUUUACCUUUUAGUGUCACAAUUUCAAAUAUUUGCAUAUCUCCAAAGACGGACCUCAAUUUCCUAUAGGGUCCUCUUGAAAAGCUCUAUGCUGGAGUAAUGAUUUGCCCAGCGCCUUCUUAAGAGCAUAAAUCAGACUUGGCAGAAAAUUGAAGUCCUGUCAGAUCAGCUCGUUCAGACACUUCUUUGGAGCAUAGUUCAAACCAAGCUAGAGAAUCCAUGCCCAAAUUUGUUUUUUUUUUGCUUAUGUAUCUACCUGUCCAAAGCAUUGCUCAGAAAACCUGUUCUUAAAUAAGAUUGA